GAGUUUGAUCUUGGCUCAGAUUGAACGCUGGCGGCAUGCCUUACACAUGCAAGUCGAACGGCAGCAUGAUCUAGCUUGCUAGAUUGAUGGCGAGUGGCGAACGGGUGAUUAAUACAUCGGAACGUGCCCUGUAGUGGGGAUAACUAGUCGAAAGAUUAGCUAAUACCGCAUACGACCUGAGGGUGAAAGUGGGGGACCGCAAGGCCUCAUGCUAUAGGAGCGGCCGAUGUCUGAUUAGCUAGUUGGUGGGGUAAAGGCCCACCAAGGCGACGAUCAGUAGCUGGUCUGAGAGGACGAUCAGCCACACUGGGACUGAGACACGGCCCAGACUCCUACGGGAGGCAGCAGUGGGGAAUUUUGGACAAUGGGCGAAAGCCUGAUCCAGCAAUGCCGCGUGUGUGAAGAAGGCCU
rnacentral:rRNA from 1 species